rnacentral:rRNA from 1 species
AUUGAACGCUGGCGGCAGGCCUAACACAUGCAAUUCGACCUGAGUUGCGAACGGGUGAGUAACGCGUAGGAACCUGCCUCAUAGCGGGGGAUAACUAUUUGAAACGAUAGCUAAUACCGCAUACUGUGAGAUGGACCUUCGUUGUAUUAGCUAGUUGGUGAGGUAAAGGCGCACAAAGGCGACGAUACAUAGCCGACCUGAGAGGGGGACCAGCCACACUGGAACUGAGACACGGUCCAGACUCCUACGUGAGGCAGCAGUGGGGAAUAUUGGACAAUGGGCGAAAGCCUGAUCCAGCCAUGCCGCGUGUGUGAAGAAGGUCUUCGGAUUGUAAAGCACUUUAAGUUGGGAGGCGUUACCAACAGAAUAAGCACCGGCUAACUUCGUGCCAGCAGCCGCGGUAAUAC